GAGAGCGGGUGAGUGCACGCGUCCUUACUGCCCUUCACUCUGGGACAAGCCCUGGAAACGGGGUCUAAUACCGGAUAACACUCUGUCCUGCAUGGGACGGGGUUGAAAGCUCCGGCGGUGAAGGAUGAGCCCGCGGCCUAUCAGCUUGUUGGUGGGGUAAUGGCCUACCAAGGCGACGACGGGUAGCCGGCCUGAGAGGGCGACCGGCCACACUGGGACUGAGACACGGCCCAGACUCCUACGGGAGGCAGCAGUGGGGAAUAUUGCACAAUGGGCGAAAGCCUGAUGCAGCGACGCCGCGUGAGGGAUGACGGCCUUCGGGUUGUAAACCUCUUUCAGCAGGGAAGAAGCGCAAGUGACGGUACCUGCAGAAGAAGCGCCGGCUAACUACGUGCCAGCAGCCGCGGUAAUACGUAGGGCGCAAGCGUUGUCCGGAAUUAUUGGGCGUAAAGAGCUCGUAGGCGGCUUGUCACGUCGGAUGUGAAAGCCCGGGGCUUAACCCCGGGUCUGCAUUCGAUACGGGCUAGCUAGAGUGUGGUAGGGGAGAUCGGAAUUCCUGGUGUAGCGGUGAAAUGCGCAGAUAUCAGGAGGAACACCGGUGGCGAAGGCGGAUCUCUGGGCCAUUACUGACGCUGAGGAGCGAAAGCGUGGGGAGCGAACAGGAUUAGAUAC
rnacentral:rRNA from 1 species